rnacentral:rRNA from 1 species
AGCGAACGCUGGCGGCAGGCCUAAUACAUGCAAGUCGAACGCCCCUUCGGGGGAGUGGCGGACGGGUGAGUAACGCGUGGGAACGUGCCCUUUGGUUCGGAACAACACAGGGAAACUUGUGCUAAUACCGAAUGUGCCCUUCGGGGGAAAGAUUUAUCGCCAUUGGAGCGGCCCGCGUUGGAUUAGGUAGUUGGUGGGGUAAAGGCCUACCAAGCCUACGAUCCAUAGCUGGUCUGAGAGGAUGAUCAGCCACACUGGGACUGAGACACGGCCCAGACUCCUACGGGAGGCAGCAGUAGGGAAUCUUGCGCAAUGGGCGAAAGCCUGACGCAGCCAUGCCGCGUGAAUGAUGAAGGUCUUAGGAUUGUAAAAUUCUUUCACCGGGGAAGAUAAUGACGGUACCCGGAGAAGAAGCCCGGCUAACUCCGUGCCAGCAGCCGCAGUAAGAC